rnacentral:tRNA from 1 species
GGAUCUUUAGCUCAGUUGGUCAGAGCGCCAGACUCAUAAUCUGCGAGGGCCAGGGUUCGAGCCCCUGAAGAUCCACCA